rnacentral:rRNA from 1 species
AUUGAACGCUGGCGGCAGGCUUAACACAUGCAAGUCGAACGAGUGGCGGACGGGUGAGUGAUGCUUGGGAAUAUAGCUUAUGGAGGGGGAUAACUACGGGAAACUGUAGCUAAUACCGCGUACCAUAGGAUGAGCCCAAGUGGGAUUAGGUAGUUGGUGAGGUAAAGGCUCACCAAGCCGACGAUCUCUAGCUGGUCUGAGAGGAGGACCAGCCACACUGGAACUGAGACACGGCCCAGACUCCUACGGGAGGCAGCAGUGGGGAAUAUUGCGCAAUGGGGGCAACCUGAUGCAGCCAUGCCGCGUGAAUGAAGAAGGCCUUCGGGUUGUAAAGUACUUUCGGUAGCGAGGCGUUAAUCACAGAAGAAGCACCGGCUAACUCCGUGCCAGCAGCCGCGGUAAUUC